rnacentral:tRNA from 1 species
AUUUAUAUAAUAUAAUAAUUAUAUUUGACUUCCAAUCAGAAAAUCUGAUAUAUCAGUAUAAAUA